rnacentral:lncRNA from 1 species
CGUCGACCUCCUCGACCUCGCCUUCCUUCUUCUCCUCGGAAGCGUCUUCGUCUUCGUCGUCGCUGAUCUCCUUCUCGGUGGUCUUCUCGGUCCAGAGGUAGAUGGGGUAGCUGAUGAACUCCGAGUGCUUCUUGACGAGGUCCUUGAGGCGGCGCUCCUCGAGGUACUCGAGCUGGUCGUCCUUGAGGAAGAGCGUGAUCUUGGUGCCGCGGCCGAGCCGCUCGCCCUCCGUGUCGAGGGUGACGGUGAAGGAGCCGCCGGCCUGCGACUCCCACACGUACUGCUCGUC